GUUUAAAACUCAAGACUUACAGGAAAGAAAAUGAAAAUGAGAUGCCUCUCAUAUUGUGCUUGCAGCAAAGACAUUCAUUAGCAUUCUCUGUCUUUCUGCCUGCCAAGGCCCAAACAAAAGAUACGGUCUGGAACAAUGGCCUGAAAUGAGGAACACAACCAAAGCAGCCGUGGAGGAAGCCUGCUGUUUCCCAUGGUUUGGAGACCUGGAGCCAAUAUAUAGUGUCCUAAGCAGAUGUGUGGAAGUGGAAAAUGCCUCAAAUGACAGCGGUGGUGAAGCCUCCAAAGACACGCAACCUCUCCAUGAGGAAGGGGUACCUGCCGUCUCUCCUAGAGGGGGUCAAUGCCUCCAGGACCCUUCAGUCACUGCAGAGCGUGUGGACAUCCUCCCUCUGUGAAGGAAGCAUGAUGUCGUGCCUCCUUUGCUAACUGACACAAAGACAAGGAAGAACAAGAGGGAAGAAGGAAAUUUGAUUCUUCACGUUGAAGCAUUAAUUUCUUGAAUUUGGAGGUACAAAAAGUGUGGCUUUUGUUCCAGUAACAACUCUUGCCUUUAGUUUCUUUUAACAUUACCCUGAUGGUAAGUAGGUAAAAAAUCAUACUCAUUUGUGAAAAAGCACUUUUUGCAUAGUGUAUGUAGCAAUAUCAGGAGAUAGGGGUAGAAUUUCAAAGUGGU
rnacentral:lncRNA from 1 species